rnacentral:lncRNA from 1 species
GUUUUGAUUAUUACACGUAAAAUUUAUUUGUAUUUUUCCUUGUCUCUUCAUAGGCACUGGUUUGCUCUGUCUUUUUGAGGAAAAUUAAGGUGAUUCCCUGCCCCUGUCCCCCAUCAAAAUUUAUCCCUGGAAGCCUGAUGAACCAGUUAGGAGAAUCUGGAGUUUCUCUGUUGCUCUCCUGAUCUCCUCUCCCUAAGGCUGUUGAGGCCAAAU